rnacentral:rRNA from 1 species
AGCGAAUAGAUACCCGGGUAGUCCACGCCCUAAACGAUGUCAACUAGCCGUUGGGUCCAUUGAAGGGCUUAGUGGCGCAGCUAAACGCGAUAAGUUGACCGCCUGGGGAGUACGGCCGCAAGGUUAAAACUCAAAGGAAUUGACGGGGGCCCGGCACAAGCGGUGGAGCAUGUGGUUUAAUUCGAUGCAACGCGAAGAACCUUACCAGGCCUUGACAUCCUCGGAACUUUCCAGAAAUGGAUUGGUGCCUUCGGGAAUCGAGAGACAGGUGCUGCAUGGCUGUCGUCAGCUCGUGUCGUGAGAUGUUGGGUUAAGUCCCGUAACGAGCGCAACCCUUGUCCUUAGUUGCCAGCAUUUCGGU